rnacentral:lncRNA from 1 species
CUGGAGCCUGCUCAGAGGUGCUUUGAAGUGCCGGAGGCCCCGCCUCUGCUGUUGGCAGCUGUGUUGCUGGGCCUGUGGGGGCCUACUGUGGCUACUCAGCUGUGCGCAUGGCCCGCCUGCUGUCACCAGGGGCGAGGCUCAUCACCAUCGAGAUCAACCCCGACUGUGCCGCCAUCACCCAGCGGAUGGUGGAUUUCGCUGGCGUGAAGGACAAGUCACCCUUGUGGUUGGAGCGUCC